rnacentral:rRNA from 1 species
AGCGAACGCUGGCGGCAGGCCUAACACAUGCAAGUCGAACGAACCUUUCGGGGUUAGUGGCGGACGGGUGAGUAACACGUGGGAACGUGCCUUUAGGUUCGGAAUAACUCAGGGAAACUUGUGCUAAUACCGAAUGUGCCCUUCGGGGGAAAGAUUAAUCGCCUUUAGAGCGGCCCGCGUCUGAUUAGCUAGUUGGUUGAGGUAAUGGCUCACCAAGGCGACGAUCAGUAGCUGGUCUGAGAGGAUGAUCAGCCACAUUGGGACUGAGACACGGCCCAAACUCCUACGGGAGGCAGCAGUGGGGAAUCUUGCGCAAUGGGCGAAAGCCUGACGCAGCCAUGCCGCGUGAAUGAUGUAGGUCUUAGGAUUGUAAAAUUCUUUCACCGGGGACGAUAAUGACGGUACCCGGAGAAGAAGCCCCGGCUAACUUCGUG